rnacentral:rRNA from 1 species
UCCGAAGGGGGAAAUCGUUGUUCGGAAUCACUGGGCGUAAAGCGCACGCAGGCGGAUCGAUAAGUCGGGGGUGAAAGCCCGGGGCUCAACCUCGGAAUUGCCUUCGAUACUGUCGGUCUCGAGUCCGGGAGAGGUGAGUGGAAUUCCUAGUGUAGAGGUGAAAUUCGUAGAUAUUAGGAAGAACACCAGUGGCGAAGGCGGCUCACUGGCCUGGUACUGACGCUCAGGUGCGAAAGCGUGGGGAGCAAACAGG